UACGUAGGGUGCAAGCGUUGUCCGGAAUUAUUGGGCGUAAAGAGCUCGUAGGCGGUCUGUCGCGUCGGAUGUGAAAACCCAGGGCUCAACCCUGGGCCUGCAUUCGAUACGGGCAGACUAGAGUUCGGUAGGGGAGACUGGAAUUCCUGGUGUAGCGGUGAAAUGCGCAGAUAUCAGGAGGAACACCAGUGGCGAAGGCGGUGCUCUGGGCCGGAACUGACGCUGAGGAGCGAAAGCGUGGGGAGCAAACAGG
rnacentral:rRNA from 1 species